GGAGGUUCAUAGCAUAAAGAUAUCGAAUCGUGUCAGGUCUGGAAGGAAGCAGCACUAAGGUAUUUUUGUGGGUGUGGAUUCAAAGUU
rnacentral:SRP_RNA from 1 species